UACAGAGGUCUCAAGCGUUUGUUCGGAUUCAUUGGGCGUAAAGGGUGCGUAGGUGGCGCUGUAAGUCGGGUGUGAAAUUUCGGAGCUUAACUCCGAAACUGCAUUCGAUACUGCGGUGCUUGAGGACUGGAGAGGAGACUGGAAUUCAUGGUGUAGCAGUGAAAUGCGUAGAGAUCAUGAGGAAGACCAGUGGCGAAGGCGGGUCUCUGGACAGUUCCUGACACUGAGGCACGAAGGCCAGGGGAGCAAACGGGG
rnacentral:rRNA from 1 species